rnacentral:tRNA from 2 species
CACUGAGAAGCUAAACAGGGCCUAGCGUUAGCCUUUUAAGCUAAAGAUUGGUGCUUCCCAACCACCCCCAGUGA